rnacentral:rRNA from 1 species
CCUACGGGGGGCUGCAGUAGGGAAUUUUCGGCAAUGGGCGAAAGCCUGACCGAGCAAUGCCGCGUGAACGAAGAAGGUCUUCGGACUGUAAAGUUCUGUUAUAGAGGAAGAAAGAUAUAUAGAGGAAAUGCUAUAUAUUUGACGGUACUUUAUGAGGAAGCCCCGGCUAACUAUGUGCCAGCAGCCGCGGUAAUACAUAGGGGGCAAGCGUUAUCCGGAAUUAUUGGGCGUAAAGGGUGCGUAGGCGGCUGAUUAAGUCUGGUGUGAAAUUUCACGGCUUAACCGUGAAGGGUCAUUGGAAACUGAUUGGCUUGAAUACAGAAGAGGUAAGUGGAAUUCCAUGUGUAGCGGUAAAAUGCUUAGAUAUAUGGAGGAACACCAGUGGCGAAGGCGGCUUACUGGUCUGUCAUUGACGCUGAUGCACGAAAGCGUGGGUAGCAAACAGGAUUAGAUACCCCUGUAGUC